GCAUCCAGGGGCCUUUACUGAGAGUCCUGGGCUAGGACUCCUGACCCAGUGGGAUGAAGGCCGCUUUCAGGAGCAAAGUGACAUACGGGCCCUUCCUCCUGGUGCUGGCCAUGGGCACCUGUUAGGGCAUGUGAGUGGUGCAGGGCCCUGGAAGUGCCGUUCGCCAUGUGCCUGAGGACUGAGAAAGUUUUCUGGCAGGAGGUGGUUGGAUCCACUGGGGGAACCUAUAUGUUGUACUUUGGGGGCUGGUCCCUCCCUAACUCCUUGUGGUCCUGACGCUGCCCUUCCCCUUCCCCAAGGUGAACCAGUGACCCAGGUGGGCCAGUUAGAAUCCUCCGCCCGCAGCUUCAGAGAGGCCCAGCAAGGCCAAGCAGCCUUCAGCCCAGAACGUGUUUCCUCAUGACACUAUAGUUAGCGGGGGCAGGAAGUGGAGGCAGAGAUGAAUGAGAACUAGCCAGGUCUGGCUCCCCUUGUGCUCUAAACCACGAGACAGGCAUGAUACUGGAAAACCCAUCCAUCUCUAAAACAACAGUUGGAUCCAAAUUGUUUCUGGGAGUUGGAAUAAAUUAAGGCUACUUGCUCAGACGGCUGAAGCACCUGUGGAGAAGAUACUUAGGAUUUUCACUCACCUAAGUUCCAAAUAGACUUGCCCUCUUUUUUCAUUCUGGUAAGAAUGACUGCCCUGAAGUUCGCACUUGAAAGAAACGGCCUGUAUGACAGGUCCUGGAGGAGACCAGCUGGAGCAUUUAUGUCUCAGAGAGAAGGCAAGCUCCUCCAAGAAGGAUUUUUGGAAUUUGUAACAACAAGAACAACAAAAACCCUUAGUGGAAGGGCUUUGAAUUGCUUCCAGAGCUGUGGGACUAUUCCUGUAAACCCUGAAUUAGUAAGACGGGGACACCUGUCUUUAGUUCCUCAACAACUGGGGUUGCAACUUGAUUAAAAGCCAGUAAGAUCCCGAAAUUUUACUUAGUUGAAUUUUGUUUCCUAAAGUUUGGUGGCAGUGCUGGGAUCCCAAGGAGACCUCACACGGCUUCGGGGACAGCAAGAAACACAGGCAGUGGAGACUGUGAACCCCAAGGUGUCUCUGUCACUGUUUGUGAGGCCGUGGAACAAGAAUACCACCUGACCUUCAUGAGCCACAUGCCAGAGAGCACUCGUACUGGAAGGGACAUCAAGUCAAAGACUCAUCUACUCUAUUGUGAAAGGACCUUUCUGGUACUGCUGACCAGUUCCUGCCCAGCUAACCCUGGAGGCAUCUGCCCCUGGAUUCAUCUGUCCCAACGUCCAGGAGUCAGGGGACCUGAAAGGAACAGCCGCAAGCUCUCCAGCCACCAGCAGCAGAGGGCUAGUCUGGAUGUCGGACCAGGCCUCGACCACUGUCCUUCUUCUCUCUGAAAAUCAUGACGGCCAAAAAUGAACCAGACUCCUCCAUAACUGAGACUCGGGAAGGAAUCCUACCAAGAACUCCUGACCCCUGACCCUGCUGCUCGAUUACAAGGUGCUGAACCCUGGUGCGUAUUUUGUGACCGAAGGCGGCUCCACCUCCCGUCUGGUCCAGUGCAGAAGCUGGAGACGCCAGACUCAAACUGACGAGUUAGAGAGGUACCAAGUCAAGGUUGAGGGCUUCCUUCCAAGGUGUGGCAAAUUGCUCUUUCCCUCUCUGACCAUUCUUCCCCUAAUUCUUACUCCAUGAAGGUCUGUAUGAUCCUUUUGUCCACCUUUCUCCUGGCCCUGGCCUACAGAGAUAAUGCCAUUGCGCACCCGUCUCGGGCCACUGCCACGGGCGAGGUGAUCUGGCCUCCGGAAGACGGCCGGAUUCCCCCCAAAGCUCUUGCUCCUGCGGUCCUGCCCGUCACAAACUUCUGCCUGACUGCCCGCGCCUCACUUGCCCUGGGCCCAACGCAGCCCCUCUCUGCACCAGACCCUGCACCAGGUCACAGGCCUGGUUACAAACCCCAGGUCCAGAGAACUUGGCAUCCAGGCUCUGUCCAAAGAAAGGGACACCAGGCAAGGGUAAUAACCAAAUAAAACCACAGACCUCGAGUUGUACUGGCCUCCGUGGCUGUCCUCCUCUGAGUCCCAAGCCACAGACUCAAAUAGGAAUGACCAAGAAGCAUUCACGUAUCCAAGUUUGCUUCCCUUGGCAGAUCGUCCGCCUCCUGGGCAGGAGUGAGCUCAAGCGAGCCUGCACUUUGGGACUUCUCCCUCACUCUCGCAGAUGUUGCAGAAUUGGCUUCUAGAACAAGACCUGCCUCACGAAUUCCUAGGCUCUCUGCCCGAGCUGUUCCGACGUGUAGCCCCAGAGUGUCUCUCAGCUGAGGUGCUGCUGUAGCUAAACAGUGCCACUUGCUGAACUCGGAUAGAUGCUUCCCGAGAAGCGAAGACUCAGUUACCCAAGAGCGCCGCACGCGGCAGUGGGCUUACGAAAGGGACUCCGUCGGUGGGGUCCUCCUCAGCAGCUGUUCUCUGCUCUAACCACAGUCGUCCCCCUCGCGCACGCUUUGCCCUCAAGAGCUUUAACUACAUGGUCGCAGUCGUUCACCACCCAGGAAAGGAUCUCCCUACGGACAGAACUUCAGAAAAGGAACGAAGAGAAUGACCAGCGUAAAGAAUGAACCUGAUCUACUGACCUGUGAGUACCACACAGAGAUUCAGCAAAACCUGUGAGAACUGAGCAUUAGCUACAAGCAACCCUAAUGCCUUAAGUUUUGAUCACAUCUCUUGGUGAGGCUAGGAGUCUGAUUAAAAGGAAGGAAUUGUUAAAAAUAAGGAAACAAGCCCAAAAUGGAGUCACCGAUGCUAAGACCCACAUCACCAAACUGAGACCUCAACUUAAUUAGCAUCAGUUCUCCCAGAGUCGUUCGUAACCCAAUCAAAAAUGACCUUGCAAGAACCAGUCGAUUUUUUGCCUAGUAUAAAUCCGUGUUCCUGCUCCCUUCUGCCUAGAGAAGUCUCAUCUGGAACAGCUCCUUUCUGCUAGAGAUGCUGCCUGAGUCAUGAAUUACUGAAUAAAGCCUAUACAGUCUCUCCGA